CCUGACAUUUCUGAUCUCAUGUUUUCAUCCCACUGAAGAGACUUGGAAGCACCCUGUCUUUUACUGUGAGACACACUUCCUGUUUUAAGGAUUUUACAGUUUGGCAGAGAGAUAAGAGAAGUGAACGGCCAUCAGAAUACAAUACAUUAAAUGUCAAGAACAAGAAAAAUGAACUGCUGUGCAAUGGAAAUUCAGAAGUGAGAGAAUUGUUUUCCUGCCCAUUUCUUUGUGUCCAAAAUCCCAUUUGGAAUUGAAGCAGAUGGCUUCUUCAGCUUGCGGCCCAGUAAUUCUCUAUUUACUGCUCUGCUGCUCACCUGACCUGCGUCUCUUUAAGGGCAGGGACUGUGCUCUAUUCCUGGACUUUCCAGCACAUGGUAG
rnacentral:lncRNA from 1 species